rnacentral:rRNA from 1 species
CAGUCGCCGCGGUAAUACGAACCGUGCGAACGUUAUUCGGAAUUACUGGGCUUAAAGCGCGUGUAGGCGGGUCGGCACGUCGGUCGCUGAAAUCCCCCGGCUCAACCGGGGAAGUGGCGCCGAUACGGCCGGCCUGGAGGGGGGUAGGGGGACCUGGAACCUCCGGUGGAGCGGUGAAAUGCGUUGAGAUCGGAAGGAACGCCCGUGGCGAAAGCGAGGUCCUGGACCCUUUCUGACGCUGAGACGCGAAAGCCAGGGGAGCGAACGGGAUUAGAUACCCGCGUAGUCCCUGUCUCUUAUA